CAGCAAAACUUCUUCAGGGAGCUCCUGGGGAAACACCUCAAGUUGGCCAAUUGUAGCUUUAGAUUGGAUGAAGAUUUUCUGCAGAUUGUGCCAGGGUUGUCAAGGCCUGGCACAGGCUGCCCAGGGAAGGGGAGAAUCACCAUCCCUGGAAGUGUUCCAAAAACACGUGGCUGUGGCAUGGGGGGUCCUGGGCUGGUGGUGAACAUGGUGGUGCUGCCAGCUUGAUGGUUGGGUUUGAUUGCCUUAGAGGGUUUUUCCAACCUAACAACUGUGAUUCCAUGAGGAGGGACCAUCAGUGUAGGUCAGGCUCCCUGGUUCCUUGGGUGAGGCUGGGGCAGGACUGUCUUGGUUUACAAAGACAGGUGUCUGCUAAGGAAGGCAGGAGCCUCCCCUGAAACGGAAUAAAAAAGUGUAGACCCCCUUCCUCCAAAUAAAUUUGAAAUUAAGGGGGGCUCUCAGGCACAAAUAUGGGAGCAGGAAUAACAGUUCUUUAUUAGGGAAGAAGCUAAAAAGAUAAAAUAAGCAAUGCAGUGAACCAAAACAACACUGACAGAGUCAGGAUACAGCCUGGCACCCUGUUGGACAGGGUGUUGGCUGCAGUCCAGUUGGGAAUUGUGGCUGCAGUGCUCCUGGAGUGUCAGGGUGGUUCUGUUGGAGCAGUGAUCCUGUAGAAAAGGGUGUAGUCUCCUUGCAGUGGAAGAGGCAGCUGUUCCUCUGGGAAAUCCAGUGCAGGAAAAGCCGUGCUGGUGUUCCAGAAACUCCAGAUUACAUCCAGGUAGGAAUGCUUGGCUCCUCCCUCGGGGCAGAGCAUCUCCCAGUGGGAUGCUGCAGCUUUUAUCAGUCACACAGUGACAUUCAAUAGCCCAUUAACAGCAGAUGUCUCUUUGGGGGGGGGAGGAUUGGUUUGGGGAAGAGAUAAUGAAAAGUGCCCAUUUAGGAGGAGAAGACAACGGCCACACCUCUAACAGAUGGCAAUUGAGCACAUCUUGCCUUGCAAUCUAGGACAAGGACAGACACCCCAGGUAAAACCCUGGAGGAGGUUCUCUAAGAAGUGUUUUCCAGAAAUGCUUCUGAGACCACGUCCUUUUGGUUGAAGGAACACAUAUAACCCUGCUAGCUCUGCACAGACUGUGUUCCAGUCUUAGUCCUUUCUUCUCCAAAACAAACUUUUAGUUUUGGUAAGCUGAAAUCUGUCCUGCUGUGUUUCAGCAGGUGCCUCCUGUCCUUUAGUCACAAAAAUAAUCCCUCUGAGAGCUGAGCUAAUUGUUGUACCUUUGAGACAUUGCCUCUGAUUUUUCUCUUAAAGACCUACUGAGAAAAGUGAUGUAAAGUAACAGAUUUAGAUAGUAUUUUAUGUAUGAUAUCACGGAACGUGUGGCAAUGCUGCCUCAGCUCAGGAUCUCUUCCAACUCGGGAGUUUUUAGAUUUGCAGUUAUUUUUCCUGUGAUGGGAAUUUCUCAGUUCAGCACUGUUCACCAUAUGGAAUUAUUUGUUGAGCUAAAUUGGUAAAGAGCAGAAGUGAGAAUUUCUGUUCCUACCAUUAUAUCAGUGGAUUGUUGAAUGUGCAGCAUCUGGUGUAUUCAGGAAUGCUUCAUCGGGAUUUAGACCUUUCCUGGGUUUUCCUCUGCAUGGAGCUGGAACACCUUCUCCAUUUUUGCUCCCACCAGAGUUCAUCCCAUGUGGUUCACUUUGCUCAUGUUCAUUUUUACCACUAUGGUGUUUUCCAUGUUUUUCUUCUAUGAAAAAUUGUGAGGGAAAAAUAUAUUAAAUUCCAAAAAGCUUAAUCACAGACAUAGCCAUGUGAAGUUCUAGCCCCUCAGAAAUUACUCUUUUUCUAAAAGCAAACCAAAAAACUUUGUGUAGACCCAUUAACACCCAGACAGGGAUUCUGGUUCUUGCAGAAUUCCUGAUAGACCCCCUGGCUUUUGACUGUUCCCCCUCCUUGCUCUGCUCUUGUGGUUUUCUGCUUCCAAAUUUCACCCCCUUCAUUUCCAGAACAGUGAAAGAGGGAGGCGGGGAGAAAAAAGGUGUUAAACUGAUAUGUCAGAGAAAGAUGUCUGAACCCUUUUUUCCGUAUUUCCUAUCUUUAAAAAAUUCUGGAAGAAUAUGACUGUAAGAAGCGUCCUGGGUCAUGCUGACUUGCUCUGGAUUCUGUCCCAGCAGUGGCAGUGAACAGCUAUUUAAGGAAAGCCUGGCUGCCAUCCCCUCUCCCUUCAUUCCCCUUGUGCUUCCCCAGCUCCAUGUCAGAGGGGCCCUAAAUACCUCCUCUUCUUUAGAAUCCUGAUUUUUGAAACUGCCUUUCUUUUCCCUAAACUGUCCUCUGCUUCAUCCUCUACUGACAGCAGGAAGAGGAAGUGGAACAUUUGGGAGUGGUUUUACACAUGUGUGUUAUCUGUGCAGCUGAAGGAAGAUUCUGCCCCAAGAGAAGGCUCAUAGAGGAGAGCAGAGCAGGAGUGGUUUGGCUUGGGAGCAGAGUUGGGGCAGUGUAAGCAGUGCUGAGCUGCUUCCUGCCAUGGGCUCCAGCUCUGCUGUCAUGGGAGGAGGAGGCACUGGCAGGACCCCAAGGCUGUCUUGCAGCCCAUGAACAGCUGUGGUAAGUAGCUUGUGCUUCUCAGUCCUGACACACAGGGAUUUGGUCUUGGUUUAACCAGACUUGCAGAAUUUGUGAUUAAACACUUUUGUGACCAUGUGUCCUGCUUUACCUUUCUGUCCGAGCUUGUUCCUUCUGCUUUUCAUCUUUCAAGAGACACAGAGUGCACAUGCCUUUGUGUGUGUGUGUACACACACGUGUAAUACCUGUGUGUAAUAAAACGUGUAGGCUGUAUUUAUACAUUUAGAGCAGGUACACAUACUUUUCAGUUGUGUGUUACUGUCUCUGCUGUAUAGGUGCUAUAUAUAGCACAUGUGGAAUGGCACAUCUGCACUGUCCCAUAUCCUGCACAGUGCAGAGAUGUAUGUCCUUAAAAAAACAAGAUUAUGUGAAGCUUUCUAAGGCAUUGGUCACAACUCUACAGUGAUGUGAGAAGCGAGCUGUGGAAGUUUAAGAAAAUUAAUGCCCAUCUUAGAAAGAACUUAACAUCCACAUUUUUCUAACUCUGGAAAACUGCCAUAUCUAUAUAUUGUGUCUCAAUGUUUUUCAGCAGUGGUCCUGUACUGUGCCAAUCACUGCUGCUCAUGGAGUACCUCCCAUUCCCUUUUCCCUGUGAGAUACAGUGCUGUCACUCCAGUGAGUCAGUGACUUCAGAAGUCAGUGAUUUUGUUUUAAGCCACCUUUAUUCUGCAUUUUCCCCCUUUCUGUUUUUACUAUAUUCCAUGGGUCUUAAUGUUUUAAUCUUUUCUUACUGCAGGAAUGGAGGAAGGAAGACAGUUCAGCUGCAAGAAGGACUGUGGUUCUAGAGAGAUGGCAGUGGCUGAACUGCGCCUGCCACGGCACACAGCACGACAGCCUGGGCUGCAUGGCCAGGCCCCCCUGCCCCAUCACUGGAUUCCUGGAGGGACAUCAGGGCUGCUCAUGCUUUUUUAGAUAAAACAUACCAAAGCUUUGUUCCAGCGUGUUCAGAGUUGCUUUUCUGAACAGCACACAGUUCAGGUUUGACUCACUGUGAUGUCUGUGCCUUGUUCAGUUACUCAGGUAGCUCAUAAAGACUUGCACCAGGUGUUUUAUUCCAGGGUAGUGGUGCCUCCAACACUGAAAUAGUUUCUGGAAGCAUUCUGGCUGCCCUGAUUUGCAUCUUACGUUACUUACACAAGUGAUGCUCAAAGGCAGAACAAGAGCUGUCAGAUGGAAACUGGUUGAGAAGCUUUGUGCUUCUGUUCCAGUCUUGGUGCUCUGUGCUCACCUGGGCACAUUCUGUUGGACUGCUGGGGACCUUGAAGAAUGAAUGUUUGCAAUGGAAUAUUUGCCCUGAUUUUGGUCUUUCCACGUUCAUAUGACAAAUCUUGAUAUUACAGAAGAACUUCUCUAAUGUCCACUCUGUGGAAUUGGAUGUCCAGCUUCUUUGUCGUUAUCCAUUCUGGGUUUGGGUGAGGGAAUAAUGAGAGCUGGUUGUAUCCAAUAAGGAAUAAAAGAAGAAAAGGACAGACUUGUUGAAUUGGUGAGAUUAAGGCAGCCUGCUGUAAUUUGUGAAAUGUGACAGGAGGGAUCCGUGUUGGGGGUAUUGGGGUCAGCACAGGGUAGGGAAUUGUUGGAUAGGAACUGUGUCAGCCCUUUGCUCAGUGAGGAUGGUGAACAGCAUCUAGUCCUAAAAGAAGGUUUGCUUCAUUUGCUGCACAAACAAAAGGAGGGAAAGAGGUGUGAUGCCCUAACAUGGACAAGGAUGAAGUGAUUGUGCUCAGAAAUACUUUGGCAUUUUGUAGUUUAUGUGCUACAGCUGGGAGGCACAGUGGUGUGGGGCAGUGCUGCUGACUGAGAUGUCAGCUGGGCACUGUCAAUCUGCUGUUCCUUAUUGGAGAUGGAGGAGGAAUUCCUUGCAAUGAGUGCAUUUUCAUCCUGUGUGAAAGCUUAGUAGGUUAUUAAAAUAAUGUUACAUGGUA